UCCUGUUUUAUCAGCUGACGGCUGGUGUA
rnacentral:piRNA from 1 species